CUCAGGGCAAAUGGUUUGCAUGGAUCUCGUGCCUUCCAAACACCUCCUGUUGCCCUAAAUAUCUUGUAAUGAAAGGCGCGGCCUCGGUAAUCCGUGACGGAAGGCAGUUUCAUGCUAGUUUAGCUUCCAUCACCUGUGUCGCUCCCUCCACCGCCCCACCGAGACAAGCCCUCGUCUCCGGCGCACUCGUCCUCCGUCGUCCUCCGUCGUCCCGUUUUUCCUUUUGCAGAGAAACCGCACGGGUCGUCUACACGUAAAACACGUCUCGUCGAGGUAAAUGAGGAUGAUUUUUUUGGUAUGGUUGCUCAUGCGAGCGUUUUAUUGUGAAAAAAGUAAGAUGCAGGUGUUUGAGUGUCCUCCAAAGCGGCCUGAAGAGAAGCCGCAUACGGCCAGUCCCUCUGAUUUCCUGUUAACGGUGUUUGUGUUGCGUCUUUUCGGCGAGCGAGACGCUGAUGAAGGUGGAUGGCAGCAGACAGCGGCUCGGAGCCUCGGCCCUCCGAGGAAGACCCUCUCACGCGUUCUGGCAGCCCUUCCAACAGAAUGGAUGAUUCUGGAACAGCAGCUCCCUCUUCACCUCGUGCCAAGACAUUUACAAUUCAAACAUGGACCAAGGUGCUGAAGAGGAAUGUUAGAAGCACUUUGAUUUGUUUUUAUGAGAGAUUUGGCAGAGGUUGGAUGGAAGCCCCUGGUGUCGCUCUUCAAAGGAAUAUAAAUUGCUGUUUUUGACAUUUUACUUUUUUCCCUCAGUGUUGAUUUCCGUUUUUGUCCCUACUUUUUUUUAUGGAACACUGAUAUACUACAUGUCAAGUCCAAAAGAGCUGUGUGGGCACUUUAGCCGUAUUUGUACAGUAUUUUACGUUCACUGCCCGCCGCCGUUUGGCACCUUCGAUAAACCAGCACUUGUUUAAUUGUGCAUGAAGCUAAUUAGUAUUGAAUACCUGACUUAGAGCAAUCUUUCGUACAAAGACGUAGAGUGUCUGACCUAACGUUGGAAUAAGAGAUUCACAUUAAUAUCCAACUUAUCGACCUUCCCACCACGCUAGUAUUAUUAUUUCCUUGCACACAGGAUUAACCUUGAUGCCGCGGCCUGGAGGGAGUUACUGCUGUGACUUGUUUCAUCUGGCGGAGGAGGAAAGAAGAUGACACCGCAACGCUGCUGCAGAUGCAAAACGGAAGACGUUGUCUGCAAAUAACAAGUGAGGAAACCACCAGUUCUUCCUCAAACAAGUACGGGAAUAAACAGUCAUGGAGAUCCAACAUUGUGUCUAGACGUCCGUGGUCAGAGUGGCGCACUUGAUUUGUUUGCUAUUUAAUGCUGAGCAAAUAGAGGACAGUGUUUUUUUGUUUUUUUAACGAUUUCGGGUUUGAUUCACUGCCUGCUUUGGCUGAAAAUGACAAUUACA
ensembl:lncRNA